rnacentral:lncRNA from 1 species
ACUAGUACAUUUGAUGUGCCAGGAGUACAUGGGUGGUGUGUGCCAAAGGACACUUGAGAUUUUUUCCAUUGUCUCAUGGUGGAAUACUGGAGGAGUAAGUGUUCCUACUUGUUAAGCAGGUAUUCUGUGUGUGCUGAAAGCAGGCCUUUCGCUGACGUGUGCGGGCAGCCAGUGCUGUGGAGCAAGGCCACCAUGGACUGUCUGCUGUUGAUGCCACAGCAUGUUCCGAAGAGAUGAUUGGAAGAUGGAAGUGGAGGGUUAAAUAAUGAAAUGCAGCUAACAUUUCGGAAAGUUUCUAAAAGUUGUACAACAUGCCCUACAGCUACUCUUUAAAUCUCCAAAUCAAAUGAGUUUCAGGUGGAGCCUCUGGGAGGUGAUGAGGUCAUGAGAGUGGAGCCUCAUGAAUGGGAUGAGCACUCCUACAAAAAGGAUUCCAGAGAGCUCGCUUGCUCCUUCCACAGUGUGAGGACACAGAGGGAAGGCUCUGUCUAUGAAUGAGAAAGUGGGUCCCCACCAGACAUUGAAUCUGCCGCAUCUUGAUACUGGACUUCCAGUCUCCAGAACUGUGGGCAAUAAAUGUCUGUUGUUUAUUACCUGUCCAGUAUCUUUGGUAUUUUGCUAUAGCAACCCAAAUGGACUAAGAAAACACCAGAGGCCAUACCUAAUAAAAAUAUUGACAUCACAA